rnacentral:rRNA from 1 species
UAGGGAAUCUUCCACAAUGGACGCAAGUCUGAUGGAGCAACGCCGCGUGAGUGAAGAAGGGUUUCGGCUCGUAGAGCUCUGUUGUUAAAGAAGAACGUGGGUAAGAGUAACUGUUUACCCAGUGACGGUAUUUAACCAGAAAGCCACGGCUAACUACGUGCCAC